UAGGACAUCCGAAAUUUACUUGAAGUUGUCUCAAGAAAAUAAAUAUGGAUGAAAAAUAUAAAAACUAUUGGUGAAGGUACUAGUUAGUAGGAGGACAGGCUAUGGAUUUGCAUCACUUGGCUGGCCUGUAAAGAUAUUUGUGGUUUUACUUCCUGAAGUAGACAAACCAGAUGGAUGUUGGGCUGUUUGCCCAAAAUGAAAGAAUAUGAACACGUGGAAGGUUUGAGAAAAGUUGUAAGCAUUCCCAAACAGCUAGAAGCAGAUGAGAGGAAGGUGAUCCUUUUAAGAACAAAGAAGGAAAUAAGGAUGCAAAAUUACAUCCACAUACAGGAACCAUACAAUUGCCAGAAGACAGUAUCUAUCACUUGCCUCAGUAUUUGAAGUGGGCUAAUGGGUGACAUGUCUGUACAAAGGUGUCAGGGAAGAGACCACCAACCGGCCCAUGACAAGGAUGUCAUCAUUGAAUGCACCACAGGAAGAUUUCCUGUGGUUCUGCCAUGUGCCCUCCCUCCCGCCUCCGUCCUCCACCCCUACUCCAAUGCCUUUGACGCUAACUCAAUGUCC